rnacentral:rRNA from 1 species
AUACGUAGGGUGCAAGCGUUAAUCGGAAUUACUGGGCGUAAAGCGUGCGCAGGCGGUUAUAUAAGACAGAUGUGAAAUCCCCGGGCUCAACCUGGGAACUGCAUUAGUGACUGUAUAGCUAGAGUGCGGCAGAGGGGGAUGGAAUUCCGCGUGUAGCAGUGAAAUGCGUAGAUAUGCGGAGGAACACCGAUGGCGAAGGCAAUCCCCUGGGCCUGCACUGACGCUCAUGCACGAAAGCGUGGGGAGCAAACAGGAUUAGAUACCCUGGUAGUCCACGCCCUAAACGAUGUCAACUGGUUGUUGGGUCUUCACUGACUCAGUAACGAAGCUAACGCGUGAAGUUGACCGCCUGGGGAGUACGGCCGCAAGGUUAA